UACGUAGGGGGGCAAGCGUUGUCCGGAUUUAUUGGGCGUAAAGAGCGUGUAGGCGGUCCGGUAAGUCGGCUGUGAAAGUCGAGGGCUCAACCCUCGAAUGCCGGCCGAAACUGCCGGGCUAGAGUCCGGAAGAGGCGAGUGGAAUUCCUGGUGUAGCGGUGAAAUGCGCAGAUAUCGGGAGGAACACCAAUGGCGAAGGCAGCUCGCUGGGACGUUACUGACGCUGAGACGCGAAAGCGUGGGGAGCGAACAGG
rnacentral:rRNA from 1 species